rnacentral:lncRNA from 10 species
AAGGACUGGGGAAGCAGCGACCGGUGCAGCACCAGCUCUGUCUUCCGCAGCAGGCCACUUAAACUAUCUGUUUUCAAGUGCUGAGAAUCCCACCUCUGAAACACCCUGCAAAGCCACAACAGAGGACCCUCAUCACCCCUCACUGCAGCAGCCUCCUAGCUGGUCACCCCACGUUCAGUAUCUUUCCAGCUGCAUGAUCGUCACCAGCUGCCAGAGCUCUACCUAGAACUCAAGUGCGACCACCUCACUCCUCUGCCUGAAACUCCUCUGAAACACACCAACACAUAAAUGUGAUUUAAUUAACUCUGGAUUUGAGGUAAUUUUAUUUUCUUCUCUAUACUUCUCUGUAUAUGCCAACUUUUCCACAAUGAGCAUUUGAUAUUUAUGCAAUCAGAAAAAGAUAACCCACAAUUUUAAAAAAUCCUCCAACCUUUCCAAGAUAAUGCCUAAACACUUUGAGGAGUAUAGACAAGACUCUGGCUAUUUAACCACACCUCCUGCUAUUCUAAUUCUCUCCUCAUUUUUCCUACAAAUCCUUUAUCACUUCCAAAAUAUGCUUUAUUCUCCAGUAGUAUGAGAGAUACUAAACUACUAGUGGUUCCCUGAGUACCUUGUGCUUUUUUACACUUCUGGGUUUUUUAAUAUGCUGUUUCCAUCAUUCUUUUUUCUACCUGGAGAACUCCUACCCAUCCUCCAAAACCUCCAGUCACCCUCACUGUGAAGCCUUCCCUGAUAACCACCUCCUACAACAGAGUCAAACUCCUCUUUUAUACUGCUGUUUAUUUGCCUGUACAGUUAUUUGUGAGACCUCCCUACCAGCGUCAAAGACAGUGCGUGAUGUAUUCUGUUACUUAAAUGGUGCUCCAGAAACAUGUACAAUACAGAACCAGAAGAGUUCUCUUUCUUUUGUUGGGUUUGGUGUCUUUGAUUGGUUUCGUUUUG